rnacentral:rRNA from 1 species
GACGAACGCUGGCGGCGUGCCUAAUACAUGCAAGUAGAACGCUGAAGGAAGGAGCUUGCUCUUUCCGGAUGAGUUGCGAACGGGUGAGUAACGCGUAGGUAACCUGCCUGGUAGCGGGGGAUAACUAUUGGAAACGAUAGCUAAUACCGCAUAAUAGCAGUUAUUGCAUGAUAACUGUUUGAAAGGUGCAAAUGCAUCACUACCAGAUGGACCUGCGUUGUAUUAGCUAGUUGGUGGGGUAACGGCUCACCAAGGCGACGAUACAUAGCCGACCUGAGAGGGUGAUCGGCCACACUGGGACUGAGACACGGCCCAGACUCCUACGGGAGGCAGCAGUAGGGAAUCUUCGGCAAUGGACGGAAGUCUGACCGAGCAACGCCGCGUGAGUGAAGAAGGUUUUCGGAUCGUAAAGCUCUGUUGUAAGAGAAGAACGAGUGUGAGAGUGGAAAAGUUCACACUGUGACGGUAUCUACCCAGAAAGG